GGCGGCGUAGCUCAGUUUGGCAGAGCAAACGGCUCAUACCCGUUAUGUCAACAGUUCAAAUCUGUUCGCCGCCA
rnacentral:tRNA from 1 species